UACGGGGGGAGCAAGCGUUGUUCGGAUUUACUGGGCGUAAAGGGCGCGUAGGCGGCCAGCACAAGUCAGUUGUGAAAUCUCCGGGCUUAACUCGGAAAGGUCAACUGAUACUGUGCGGCUAGAGUGCAGAAGGGGCAACUGGAAUUCUCGGUGUAGCGGUGAAAUGUGUAGAUAUCGAGAGGAACACCUGCGGCGAAGGCGGGUUGCUGGGCUGACACUGACGCUGAUGCGCGAAAGCCAGGGGAGCGAACGGG
rnacentral:rRNA from 1 species